UACGUCGGGUGCGAGCGUUGUCCGGAAUUAUUGGGCGUAAAGGGCUCGUAGGCGGUCUGUUGCGUCGGGAGUGAAAACUCAGGGCUUAACCCUGAGCCUGCUUCCGAUACGGGCAGACUAGAGGUAUGCAGGGGAGAACGGAAUUCCUGGUGUAGCGGUGAAAUGCGCAGAUAUCGGGAGGGACACCCGUAGCGAAGGCGGCACUCUGGGCCGGAACUGACGCUGAGGAGCGAAAGCGUGGGGAGCAAACAGG
rnacentral:rRNA from 1 species